AGAGUUUGAUCCUGGCUCAGAGUGAACGCUGGCGGCGUGCCUAAUACAUGCAAGUCGAACGAUGAAGCUUCUAGCUUGCUAGAAUGCUGAUUAGUGGCGCACGGGUGAGUAACGCAUAGGUCAUGUGCCUCUUAGUUUGGGAUAGCCAUUGGAAACGAUGAUUAAUACCAGAUACUCCCUACGGGGGAAAGAUUUAUCGCUAAGAGAUCAGUCUAUGUCCUAUCAGCUUGUUGGUAAGGUAAUGGCUUACCAAGGCUAUGACGGGUAUCCGGCCUGAGAGGGUGAACGGACACACUGGAACUGAGACACGGUCCAGACUCCUACGGGAGGCAGCAGUAGGGAAUAUUGCUCAAUGGGGGAAACCCUGAAGCAGCAACGCCGCGUGGAGGAUGAAGGUUUUAGGAUUGUAAACUCCUUUUGUUAGAGAAGAUAAUGACGGUAUCUAACGAAUAAGCACCGGCUAACUCCGUGCCAGCAGCCGCGGUAAUACGGAGGGUGCAAGCGUUACUCGGAAUCACUGGGCGUAAAGAGCGCGUAGGCGGGAUAGUCAGUCAGGUGUGAAAUCCUAUGGCUUAACCAUAGAACUGCAUUUGAAACUACUAUUCUAGAGUGUGGGAGAGGUAGGUGGAAUUCUUGGUGUAGGGGUAAAAUCCGUAGAGAUCAAGAGGAAUACUCAUUGCGAAGGCGACCUGCUGGAACAUUACUGACGCUGAUUGCGCGAAAGCGUGGGGAGCAAACAGGAUUAGAUACCCUGGUAGUCCACGCCCUAAACGAUGGAUGCUAGUUGUUGGAGGGCUUAGUCUCUCCAGUAAUGCAGCUAACGCAUUAAGCAUCCCGCCUGGGGAGUACGGUCGCAAGAUUAAAACUCAAAGGAAUAGACGGGGACCCGCACAAGCGGUGGAGCAUGUGGUUUAAUUCGAAGAUACACGAAGAACCUUACCUAGGCUUGACAUUGAGAGAAUCCGCUAGAAAUAGUGGAGUGUCUGGCUUGCCAGACCUUGAAAACAGGUGCUGCACGGCUGUCGUCAGCUCGUGUCGUGAGAUGUUGGGUUAAGUCCCGCAACGAGCGCAACCCCCUUUCUUAGUUGCUAACAGGUCAUGCUGAGAACUCUAAGGAUACUGCCUUCGUAAGGAGGAGGAAGGUGGGGACGACGUCAAGUCAUCAUGGCCCUUACGCCUAGGGCUACACACGUGCUACAAUGGGGUGCACAAAGAGAAGCAAUACUGCGAAGUGGAGCCAAUCUUCAAAACACCUCUCAGUUCGGAUUGUAGGCUGCAACUCGCCUGCAUGAAGCUGGAAUCGCUAGUAAUCGCAAAUCAGCCAUGUUGCGGUGAAUACGUUCCCGGGUCUUGUACUCACCGCCCGUCACACCAUGGGAGUUGUGUUUGCCUUAAGUCAGGAUGCUAAAUUGGCUACUGCCCACGGCACACACAGCGACUGGGGUGAAGUCGUAACAAGGUAACCGUAGGUGAACCUGCGGUUG
rnacentral:rRNA from 1 species